rnacentral:rRNA from 1 species
GCGGAGGAAAAGAAACUAACAAGGAUUCCCCUAGUAACGGCGAGUGAAGCGGGAAGAGCUCAAAUUUGUAAUCUGGCACUUUCAGUGUCCGAGUUGUAAUCUCGAGAAGUGUUUUCCGCGCCGGACCGCAUACAAGUCUGUUGGAAUACAGCGUCAUAGUGGUGAGAACCCCGUAACUGAUGCGGAUGCCCGGUGCUUUGUGAUACACUUUCGAAGAGUCGAGUUGUUUGGGAAUGCAGCUCAAAUUGGGUGGUAAAUUCCAUCUAAAGCUAAAUAUUGGCGAGAGACCGAUAGCGAACAAGUACCGUGAGGGAAAGAUGAAAAGCACUUUGGAAAGAGAGUUAACAGUACGUGAAAUUGUUGGAAGGGAAACGCAUGAGGUCAGACUUGCUAUUUGGAAUUCAGCCGCAAGGUGUACUUUUCAAUUCGCAGGCCAGCAUCAGUUUUCGGGGGUGGAAAAGGGUAGAG